AAAAAUAAGUAAAUAUAUAAACAAUUUACUUUCAACAACCAAUGAACAAAUUAAAACUUAAAACUCUAAUUAAAUAUAGAAUAAAUUAUGAGCUAUGACAAAAAAAACAAUUGAUUAGAAAAGCAAUGGUAAAUUUAAGAAGAAUGUAGACUCAAUAACGCAUUAAAGAAGUUUAACUAAAGUACAAAUCAAAAAUUAUUUAAGUAGGCAAGAAAAAAAUUAUUACCUUACUAAAUAAACCGUUAACAACUAAAUAAAUCUAACUUACAUUUAAUCAUAAGAUUUAGGAGAUGCAUAAGAAAAUGAAGGGAAAUAAAGAAGAAUUGAAAUGAAAACAAUUAUUUAAAUAAAACCAUAAAUUACAAAACCAAUCAAAUAAUAAAUAAUAUAAACAUGUAGUAAAUCUAAAAUUUUGAAAUAAAUCUCAAACCACCCAAAUACAUAAAAUCUAGACUAACUGGAGUGACUAAUUUGAGAGGAAAGUAAGAUAACCUAAAGCAUCAAAGUUUAAAAGCAUAAGAAAAGCUCAGUAAAGCAAAGUCAAGUUAUAGAGAAUAUAAAGUAUACAAAUAAAAUUCAAAGAAACAAAAUAAUGAUACAAUCAAAGCAAAAGUAAAAAGGACAUCUCAAAACAAAACUGUGAACAUUUGUCAGAACAGUAUGGUUGAAAUUCAACAAUGGGUGAACCCUGACAAUGGGUGGAUGAAUGCUCUUCCAUACGUGGUUGGGAUGCAUGUCUUUGUUUGGGUCACCUGGCUAAGUAACAUUGUGACCAAUCCGUGCACGAUCGUAUUAUCUUUACCCAUGUGGUAGUGGGAAUCCCGAUCAUUAAAUAGUACUUAUUCUGUUAGAUAUUGUACGUGUGAGUAAGAUCCAUACUCAAAAUUAGAAAGAAUAAUAAGAAAAUAGAAAACAACAAGAGCACACAAAAAAACUAUAGAAAAACACAACCUCUAGGAUUAUAGAUUAAGAUUUAAAACCC
rnacentral:lncRNA from 1 species